rnacentral:rRNA from 1 species
UCGAGAAUCUUCGGCAAUGGGCGCAAGCCUGACCGAGCGACGCCGCGUGUGGGAUGAAGGCCUUCGGGUUGUAAACCACUGUCAGAGGGGAUGAAAUGCAGGUGGGUUCUCCCAUCUGUUUGACAUAGCCUCAGAGGAAGGACGGGCUAAGUUCGUGCCAGCAGCCGCGGUAAGACGAACCGUCCAAACGUUAUUCGGAAUUACUGGGCUUAAAGGGUGCGUAGGCGGCGCGGAAAGUUGGGUGUGAAAUCCCUCGGCUCAACCGAGGAACUGCGCCCAAUACUACCGUGCUUGAGGGAGAUAGAGGUGAGCGGAACUUAGGGUGGAGCGGUGAAAUGCGUUGAUAUCCUAAGGAACACCGGUGGCGAAAGCGGCUCACUGGAUCUCUUCUGACGCUGAGGCACGAAAGCUAGGGUAGCGAACGGGAUUAGAUACCCAAGUAGUCCCUGAGCGGGCUGGCAAGGCGCAU